UUAUCACAUUUAAUUAUCAUUUGAUAAGACUAUUUUUCUCACAGUUCUCUAUUUCCCUUCUUAUAUCUGUACCAAACCUGUGACAUGACUUCACUCACCAACAUUUUUCUCAUCUUCUGCUUAAUUCUAAUGUCAACCAAGGUGGUUUCCAAAGACCUAACCACAAAUACACGGCAGACAAAUUCAUGUAGGAUAAACAUACAC